rnacentral:lncRNA from 1 species
AAAAGAUGCGCCUCGACGAUAUCUUUCCAACAGCGUAUCAUUUGCUUUAUUCCGAUGAGCGGUUUAGAAAAAAUCGCGAAAACACGCUCGCUGCCACUCGUCAUGGGCCGCACUAUUUUCAAAACUGCUCUUAAGCCGCGAGGAAUCUUGUGUCACCCCGGCUCAGAGCAAACCGGAACGCCCUGUAUUCCAGCCCAGAGAUUGAGGAGGAGUCUUCUGGAAUAUGGCACUGCUCAGCAUAGAACAAACCAGCUUCUAUUAUUACACGAAUAUGAAUACAAGGUCUCCGAUAUUACAAUAAAUAACCUCGGUACGGCGACACUACGCCUGCCACUGUUGUUCUAUGCAAGCAGCAGAACAACUCAAUGCAGCGGAAGAACUCUAGCAGCGGAACAACGACGACGGUGGUGAACUCCACUCCGCAGGGACUCUGGCUAGAACGCUUAUCCUAGCUCGCACGAACGGAAACCACGACAAGCAAGCAAUCAAAUCCGGCAUGACCUGCAAACUGGCAUGACACGUCAGGUCAGUACAUUGAAUGUACUUGCAAGCUCACAAUAAACCAGAAGCAUUCAAGGCAGACAACAGCAUGGCAAUUACAGGUUAGGCAAAAUUUAACAUGAUAUCAUCAGAACAAUAUAGCAUGAACAACUUGAACAUGAUACAGUUAACACAACAUGAACAUGGCAUGAACAUAUUAAUCCGACAACACUAUCAUGCAACAUAAUGUCACUACAUGCACCACUUAUUCUGCUCGGGCUACCUUGUAACCAUCACAUGCAUCACUUACCGACUUCGGACAUCACACAAUCAUCUUAGGAUCAAAUCAAGCUUGGUAUAAACAAUACCAUAGUAAUCAUUAAAUGACCAUAAGGAGCUUGAUAUUUACUCGCACAACAUCACGAAUAUACAACAACUCGGUAUCCUCGAUACCACCGUGAUCCUUGCGGCGAUCACAACCCGACCAACACUUGGCCCGUGAUCCUUACAGCGAUCACAACCCGACCUACACUUGGCCCGUGAUCCAUACGGCGAUCACAACCCGACCAACACUUGCCCCGUGAUCCUUACGGCGAUCACAACCCGACCACUAAAUGGCCCAUGAUCCUUACGGCGAUCACAACCAACUUAUCUCAUGGUUAUUAAGCACAUUAUUCUUAUUACUGUUGACUCCUGGUGUGACCUAAUUUCGACCUGGGCCCUUAUCCGCGGGCGCGGCUAUCGAUAGAUUUAAUAUACACUCUGCAGAGGUUAGUACACUGUACCCACACUACGGAACCCAUGGCCUUGCACUCCCAUUCGGGUGGACCAACGGCGUUCCGACAAAACCGAUCUACUGCCAUGAUACUCUCCCGGCCACUCCGACCAACUCCCCUCUAGGCUAAGUCAUGGGUGGCCCCGUGUCUACCUCAAGACACAACGACCACCGUCGUGGCCCGUCCCACUCUGGGACCAGGAUCCAAAAACUAACUCAACAACGGGCACACAAGUCUUAUGUCCGCCUACCUGAUCAGGGUAGCGCGUGCCCAUAACCUUCCCUCGUUGGAGGCACCGGCGAGAGGCACGACAAUAGACCCAGUUAGGACCGUCCCAUACCGAUAAGCGUGGUUGCACUGGUCAGCAUCGAUUCAGCGGCACCAUGACUCAGCCAACAUUUGUUCAAGUUCAAUUUAAUCCGGUUAACUUGAAUGCAAAUAUACUGAGCCAUGAUAAAAUACAUGAACAUGAUAGCAACAUAAUCAUGAGGGUAUCGCAUAACUAUCCACCAUAUCAACAAUAAAUCAUAUCCACUGAGCAUGGCAUACUGACUAGCAUGACCAUCACCAACAUCAACAUGUACCACUAGCAAUCAUAAACAUAUGAAAGGAGAUACUAGCAGGUAGAACAUGAUAACAGAGCACAAGACAACAUAGCACAAAAGUGAACAUGCAACUCUAAACAUUACCGGAACAGCGAUAACCAUCUUUUCAACAAGCAAACAUUUAGUAAAGAUUCAAGUUGAAAACCAUGGCUACUGCAUGACUAUCAUGAAAUUGGGUAUUGUGGCUUGCCUGGGGAUGAAGAAGGCAUCGGGGAGAAGUGCGGUGAAGCCGCGGAAAGAUUUGCCGGAAACAGUUCUCUCUCGGAGGGGGCUGUUUACAUACAAGGGCAAAAAGCUCAUUUUCACAAUGUCAAACCAUAGUGAAAAUGAAACCAACAGAAAGAGCUCGACGAUACGAAGAAGUGAGCAUUGGUUUCACCUUAAACGGAGUUACGGUUGCGGAGUUAUGAGGUGUAGAAGAUCAGGGACCAAUCUAUGAAUAUUUUCAUCACCAACGGGUCCCUGGGAGGAAAAACUGAAAGCGCAUAAGGAUAAAUAUGUUUUCUGAAAGUGAAAACGUAUUCUGAAAAGAAGUAGAAGGAAAAUACGUUUUCACAAAAGAAAAGCGUACCCGGGGGAAACCCGUCUCCACUUAUCCACGUGGGCUGAGGCGCCGGGGCCACUGGCGCGUGGGACCCAAGGGCAGGGGGCAGGGGGGCAGCGAGGUCGUCCUCUUCCUCCCGCGCCUCUGUUCCUCCCGUGGAACAGAGCGGGGCAGAGGAGGGAAGCGGCCAAGGGGCCGGCCGGCUCCGGUGAUCCCCGGCCAGGCCGAGGGUACCGGCGGGACCGCGGGGCUGCGCUGCACCCGUUCAGAGGGAGCACGGCCGCCGGGGAGGAGAGGGCUGGAGGGGAGAGGCGACGCCAUGGGAGGGCAGAGGCGGCUCGGCGGAGGUGGUGUUCGUCGGAGCAGGGCGCUCCGGCGAGGGCUGAGGAGUCGGGGCGGAUCGCGAGGACGAGGGGGAGGCCGUGGUGAUGUCGGGGAGGCACGAGGAGGCUCGGGAUGGCCAGAGGAUGCAGUGGCCGAACGACGGAGACGACUGCCGGACUAGGGCGACGCGGCCACGGAACUCUCAGGCGAGGGGCAAGGGGUUUGGGCGAACUGCGAGGAGGUGGGGGAGAUCGAGGACAACACCCGGGGAGGAGGGGAUGCUCGAGCUGGCCGGAACCAAGGAGGAACCGCGGCGGCCGAGGCGAACAGAGGCGAACUCCGGCGAGAUGUCGUGGCUCUGGUGGGCUAGGAGGGACGAGGAGGGGCUUGGGAGCUGCGGGAGAGUCUAGGGGUCCUUAUAUAGGCCGAGGGGAGGCUUUUGGAGCUCACGGGCGAGCUCCCGACCAAGCAUUAAUGGAGGGCAGUGGCUGGGCAUGGCACGGGCAUGGCAUUUGCGACGCAUUCAUGGUGAACGGCGACAAGGCAGAGGCACAGGGCGAUGCAGAGGCUCACGGGGCAGCUACUACACAUGGUUGGAGGUCGAGACGAGGAGGGAGGAGACGAGCACAGAGACAAGAAGAAGCCAGAGCGCGCAAUCUGCAUGACGCAAGCGUGAUCACCACGCGCACUGGUGCAAAUAGCUCAUUUUGGCCAGGACGACCAUGUCCAGUCGAUUGACCCUAGUGACCUUAGUAUAGUUGGGGCAAUAAAUCAUUCCAGGGUCAAAGAAGAGAUUUGCACUUAGCUCAAAAGUAAACCAGCUGCCAAGUGUUUGUGCUGUGUAGUGGGGACACCAGCUAGGUAACUCAGUAAAUAGUUUGUCUGGUGAUGAUCAUACACUAAGGUGACUACGAUCACAAGAAAUCAGCUUAAGAGGAGCAGUUUAAAGGGUGGUUGCUGUAGAAAGUGACCCACUGGUCAGAAAUGGGAAUUUGGAUGAUGCACUCACAUGGUUGCAUCAAUUGAGCUGAAAAUGGUUAUGGCCCAAUUAUUUGAAUAUAUUAAGAUGCCCAAGGAGUUUCAUGCCAUUUGGUGGAACCAAAAUAGCACUUGCUUCAGAAAGAUUUAUUCUGAGCAGAAACUUGGAAAAAUUCCACAGGGCAAAUGGUCAAAGGUAUUGCGCCACAACUUGGUGUAGGUAGGUUAUAUGGACACUAGAAGGUAUAGAGAAAUUUACAGCCAUAAUGGAGCAAGAUAAAAUAUACUUGCUUCACAAACUGAAAUUUUGACCAAAAACUAAGAAUUGAAGCUGUGCUCACAUCGAGGCAUGACAUGAGCUCAACUUUGGUGGAGGGCUAUGAUAUGAUGCUAUUAAGGUCCAUGCAAAAUUGAAACUCAUUUGGAUAUUCCUAGCUUGUACCUCCUUCACAAAGCUUCUUUCUGGACAGAAACUUUGGAAAAUCAUAAUUAAACAAUUACUAGGAAAAUGAGGUUGCAUUUUGGCAUGUGGCAAUUAUAUGGAAAUGAAAAUAUGUCCAAGGAGUUUUAGGUCAAUUGGACAAAGGAAAAUGGCACUUGCUUCACAAUGUGCCAUUUAGAGCAGAAUAGGAAAUGAAUUAUUGGAGGAUUAUUUUUGAACACGGCAAUGAAACUUUUAUCCAUAUUUGAUCAAGAUAUGUCCCAAAAAAUUUAUGAGAAUUAUUUGGGAAUUUUUGGAGUGAUGGAAAUAUAGGUUGCUUCACAACCUAGGGCAAUUUGAGUUAUUCCUUUAAUAGAAAAAGAAAUAUUCCCAAUAAAAAGAAUAUUGGGAUUUGGGCUAGGAUGAAAAUGACAGGGUCUAGGGAAAGAUUUGGGAAUGACAAGCCACUCUGGAAGCAAAGAAGAGGGCAUCUUCUUCAGUUUCCAGACCACAAAGCCACGAAAAAGAAAAACUCAGGCAAAAACCUCGGAAAACAAAAGAAAAAGAAAGGGACAAAAAUCAGGCUAUCACAAACCUUACCCCCUUAAAGAAAUCUCGUCCUCGAGAUUUGGUUGCUCAGGGAACAAGUAUGAACAUUCUGACUUAAGGAAACCGUUUCCAAGUCGGGUAUCCUUUUUCCUUUAUUGUUGUUCCCAUUAAAUUUUUAUCAGACUGGCCCUGGGGUAGUUUGCUUUACUGUAUCCUCAUUCUGACAGAUCUUACCUGGCUUGCUCAUGCUUAUAUAGGCUCCAAUUUCUUUUUAGAUCUGCUGACUAGCUGAGUGUGAUUUAAUUAUCACGACUGAAAUAUAUGUCCGUCUCACAAAUCCAAAAGUGAUUUCCGCUGAGUGUGCCACCCGGCACUGACAACCUUUCAUGUAAAGAUGAUUAGAAUUUUCUGAUGAAAACUCAAGCUCUGACUCUUUGCAUUGGGUUUCUCCACUAAAUGCAGGUCCUUUGGGUUCCAAACAGUGAGUUAAAACAUAACCGUUUCCUGACAGAUUCUGACUCAUCGCAAAAGUUUCUGAAUCAUCUUAACUGGUUCCAUUAUCGUGAGUAUCGGAUCCGUACCAAAUAUUUGAUAGUCUCCUGUCGCGGCCAGCAUAAAGGGUUUGGCCUGUAUGAUAAUAUCUGCAGACUUGGCUGACGGUGGUUCUGACGAAAAAAAUUUGUUCACGGCAGGCUAUCCAUGAUGAUUCAUAUAAGUGAGGACUCAGGCUUCCAGACUGUUAUUCCUCAUGCCGAUUACUCAUGUUGUAGGCAUAUCCAUGUGGAUCAAUACUGACUUAGACUGUCCGAGGGAUCUGCACCAUGGGGGUCGUGUACAAUUUUCAUACCUACAUCACUGGUCUUGCUCCUUCAUUAUUGUUUUCUUGGUCUGGAUCUUUGGCUGAAAGAGUUGGGCCAUAUUGCUUCUUCGUAUGACCAUAGGUACUGUCGAUGCAAAUUUUUUCGGCAAUUGGAGUUUAUCUCAUUUUUCUGAUAGGAUAACCCAUUAAAUGGCAGGUCUAUCACUUCUCAAGUUCUGACCGCAGAAAAAUGAUCAUCCGAAAUCCUUGCAAGAAAUCAGCAAAUAAAUCAGUAGCCACCAGAACGGCCUUUACAACUCAUAUCUGGGACAUUACUGAAAUAACUCAACCACGGCUCAGGACAGCCGAAAAGCAGCUCAGAGCAUGAGACCGGGUCGAUAAGAAGAAGGUGACAGCUCCCUAAAAUAGCCAGCAGCUCCCUAAAAUAGCCAAAAAGCAGCUAUAGGACUACUGUCACAAAAAGAAACUCAACAGCUGUACGAGACGGCCGAAAAGCAGCUCAGACUCGUGACAGUUGUUGAAGAGAGAAACAAGAAUCGGCAUCCACCCCGGAUAGCUAGAAACAGCUCAGAUCACAGGUGUGGUGCCGUCAUUGGAGAAAAAGGGGACAAGGGCUCAUCAGGAUCAUUUUCCAGGUUCACGGGUACUUGUAUUGAGCUCAUUGAGGUCGUCAAUCCUCAUAAUCCUUUGUCACACUGCGGUGUAUACUGGCUUUCUUCUCUUAAUCAUCCUCACGUGGUUAUCAGAUCCUCAUCCGAGUGACUUGUAAGAUCUUGAUGGUAUGCUCAUUGCAUAUAUAUGAGGACCUGAUUCCGAGACAGACGUGUAUUCUGACUGAUUCUUGAUUCUGACAAAAAUAUUGAGGAUCUGAUUCUUGGGAUUCACUGCCAUAUGCUGUCAAUUCACAGCGUACUACCUUGUACCAAUGUCUUACUGAGGAAUAUUUGAUAGCUUGUGCUUGAAACUUUCAUCAGACAACUUGCUGAAGAAGACUGAAUAUCGUGCUUCAGAAGCUUACCCCCUUAAAAACUUUGCUGGGGAAAGACUCGGUACCUUAUGCCGGAAGCUUUUGCGGUUGCUUACUAAAGAAGGCAGACUACCUUGCGCGAGAAGUCAUCCAUGUAUCGUACUGAGGAAGAUAGAUGAAUCUUGCCUUGGAAGCUUCUCUGGUAUCUUGCGAGGGAAGAUUGGGUUGCUUCCACCAGAAGCUUCUUAUUGUGAUAUGCGGACCGAGUACCACAUAUACAUACCAUCUUAAUAUUUCUGAUGUUGAUUUCCUGUAUGAAACAGGGUUUUACUGGACUAUCCUCCUUUCUGAGUAUAUGCCAUAUAUUUGCUUGCUUCCAGGUACAUCGAGUUCCAAAAUCAUCCUCAACGAAAAAUUAAACUUGUAACUGAGCCAUACCUUUGAUAAUAUUCUGUCAACCUUGCGCACAACUUAUCUUCUUGCUGAUUUAAUCAUUUUGUUGUGAUGAGUGCACGCUAAUGCAAACUUGAUACUGACGGUCCAUCCAGGAUUUCUUUUGCAUCCAGACAAGAUAUUCCCAAUUUUUCAGUGCAGUCUGCUGAUAAUUCCAUUUUGUUUAGCUGAGUUUCCAAAUAUAUGCAUUUCUUGCUGACUCUUCGGGUCCAGUGUCGGCUGACGAGCAACUUUAAUAGGGGAAGAAUUUGUAACACCGAAGGCCCAAAGAAAGGAACAAAAAAAACGACUAAAACAAAAGCACACAAGCAUCCUACUAAUAUAAUUAAUCAAGCAAUCACCACAUAUUACUGCUACUCACACAAUAAUAUGCAUGCACACCUAAGCACGCAAAUCUCGCGGAAACUCUGGUAUUGCGGUCUAAUAUGCUGUGACGAUGUGCACGAGGACGAAUAAAUGUGUGGAAGAAUUGGUGUAAACAGCGCUACACCAAGUGCUAGCUUAGCCAGAUAGCAACCUGGACAAGCUCGGAGGUAAGGACGUACUCGAUAAUCAUGUAGUGGGACACGAAGGUCGCAACUACAUUAUUAUCAAGCGGACGGAAAAAGAUUCGUACUCGUCCAAGAAAUAGGAUACCGGGAAAAACUGAGGCUGCUGACAUUGCCCUUUCUUGGUAACUACGAUCAUUAAGGGUUGCCAACACGACAAAAGAAAAGAACGACCCGGGAUAGACGCAUGUCCAUCACCGAAAUGAUAGACGGGACUGAAAGAAAGACAUCGGUGCGAUACCUGAGCACCAUUUUUGCAAACAGUGUCGGGAUCACUUGGCAUCACUCUGCUGGGACAGAAACGACACCAAACAGCGAAAGAAAAAGGGACUCGAGAAAUGCAAAGGUUGAGCUGUAGUGGAUCCAAACCGACGCCAGCUACACUCACCAGAUAAAUCGUUAGUACAAAUACUAAGGCUAUAUGCAUGCUAUGCAACAAAAAAAUGCUGCAACCAAAUGCAAUAAACAAGCCAGACUCUAUACUACCGAUUUCUAAUGUUCGCGCGGUCUAGGGCGUCCUACAGCCAGACCUGCUUUGAUACCAAACCUGUGUCACCCCGGCUCAGUGAAAACCGGAACGCCCCGUAUUCUAGCCCAGAGAUCGAGGAGAAGUCUUCUGGAAUACGGCACUGCUCAGCAUAGAACAAACCAGCUUUCUAUUAUUACACGAAUAUGAAUACAAGGUCUCCGAUAUUACAAUAAAUAACCUCGGUACGGCGACACUACGCCUGCCACUGUUGUUCUAUGCAAGCAGCAGAACAACUCGAUGCAGCGGAAGAACUCUAGCAGCGGAACAACGACAACGGUGGUGAACUCCACUCCGCAGGGACUCUGGCUGGAACACUUAUCCUAGCUCGCACGAACGGAAACCACGACAAGCAAGCAAUCAAAUCCGGCAUGACCUGCAAACUGG